rnacentral:ncRNA from 1 species
UUUAGCUAGGGGUGCCUAAACGCUGAGAGAAGCAAUAAUUGCUUUAACCCUUGAACCUGAUGUGGAUAAUGCCAUCGAAGGAAAGCUUAA